rnacentral:rRNA from 1 species
UUAUUUGGAGAAACAAACUAAAAAGUGCCUGAUCUCAGAAGCUAAGCAGGGUCAGGCCUGGUUAAUACGUGUAUGGGAGACCACCUAGGAAGACAAGGUGCUGUAGACA